rnacentral:rRNA from 1 species
AUUGAACGCUGGCGGCAGGCCUAACACAUGCAAGUCGAACGGUAACAGGAAGCAGCUUGCUGCUUCGCUGACGAGUGGCGGACGGGUGAGUAAUGUCUGGGAAGCUGCCUGAUGGAGGGGGAUAACUACUGGAAACGGUAGCUAAUACCGCAUAAUGUCGCAAGACCAAAGAGGGGGACCUUCGGGCCUCUUGCCAUCGGAUGUGCCCAGAUGGGAUUGGCUUGUUGGUGGGGUAACGGCUCACCAAGGCGACGAUCCCUAGCUGGUCUGAGAGGAUGACCGGCCACACUGGAACUGAGACACGGUCCAGACUCCUACGGGAGGCAGCAGUGGGGAAUAUUGCACAAUGGGCGCAAGCCUGAUGCAGCCAUGCCGCGUGUAUGAAGAAGGCCUUCGGGUUGUAAAGUACUUUCAGCGGGGAGGAAGGGAGUAAAGUUAAUACCUUGGCUCAUUGACGUUACCCGCAGAAGAAGCACCGGCUAACUCCGUG